rnacentral:rRNA from 1 species
CGUAGGCAGCGAGCGUUGUUCGGAGUUACUGGGCGUAAAGGGUGUGUAGGCGGUUCUUUAAGUUUGGUGUGAAAUCUCCCGGCUCAACCGGGAGGGUGCGCCGAAUACUGAGGGACUUGGAGUGCGGGAGAGGAAAGUGGAAUUCCUGGUGUAGCGGUGAAAUGCGUAGAUAUCAGGAGGAACACCGGUGGUGUAGACGGCUUUCUGGACCGUAACUGACGCUGAGACACGAAAGCGUGGGUAGCAAACAGGAUUAGAUACCCUGGUAGUCCACGCCCUAAACGAUGCAUAUUUGGUGUGGGUCAUUCAGUUGAUCUGUGCCGGAGCUAAACGCGUUAAAUAUGCCGCCUGGGGAGUACAGUCGCAAGGCUG